AGUGGGAAGAGAGAAGUAGCUAAGGAAGGGGUACUGAUAUGAAAUGGAUUUCUGGAAAAUGUUUUCCUGAGUAUUUGCAGGAAUACUUCUGGGUCAUUAAAAGGGUGAUCUAUUUUAGGCACUUCCGCGGAAAGAGGGGUAUAAAAGGAGGUGCAGAUGAAAACAGUAAGUUGGUGGAAGCAGACUGCGCAGGAGGCUCCCUUUAUCCGACUCAACAGGAUGAGAAGGGAAAUUCUGGGGCCGCUGCCUGCCACUCAGCAGGGAAGCAAAAGCCUGCUCUGUAUUUAACCCGAGGGGAUGAGGAAAUCCUAACAGUCCCUCUUCUCUCAGGGGUGCGAGGGGCCUCCGCCCUUCAGGAGUCUCGUGAGGAUGCCAACGUGGACUCGUGUCUGCACGUGUGCGUGUUUUCAUUUGCGCGUCCAGCGCGAAAGCGACGUCCCACAGUAAGAAAAAUCCAUCCAUCCCGGCAGGCCGUGGGCUCCCCACCCCCGCACCCCAAACCGCAGCUCCGUCUGGGUGGAACGAAUUUUCCCUAA
rnacentral:lncRNA from 1 species